rnacentral:lncRNA from 1 species
CAGAGAAUCAAAAGGAGACUUGAGACUGAACUACAGAGAUGGUGAAGCCUCCUUGCAGCCUAGAGAGAUGCCUGGAGAGUCCUCGGGCUCUGAUUGGGCAGCUCCUUAGCCAUGGGUGGGAGUAAGAGGAGAACUUCCUGUUUGAAUGGUAGGGUUCCUUGGAACAAGUUCUGGUCCAAUGAUUCCAGCUGUUUGCUGUCUCCCUUUCACCUAGUCAGCCCCCAGCUGUCCCAGGCGUGCAGGCUUUGCUGGUUCCUCAAGUUCCUGCUGACUGCCCAAGAUGAGCCCAGGAGACCAAGUGAUGGUGGUCAACCCCCUGAUACCUGGAUCCCAGAUUGUGUAACCAGGAUUCAGAACAUAGAACUAUCUCUAAAGAAAGAAAUUUCAGAAGAAAUGGAAUCUCAGUGGCUGAGAGAAGAAAAACUCAUAAAGGAUAUUUCCAAAGGACUAUGUCUUGGAGAAACCUGGGAAAGUCAGGCCAUAUUAUGGAAAAAUGAAAGUCUUACCAUGGAGAGAUUGAAGAAAUCACCUUCUAAGGAGAACAGUUUCAGGCCAAUGUUAAUCAAUCACCCAGGAGAAAAUCUCCAUAGCUGAGGAAGGGCAGAAAUAUGACAGAUGUGGAAGAAACUGGAAUCUGAAUUCAAACACUGUUUCAUGCCAAGGAUUUUCUAUAAGAGAGGAACUCCAUAAAUGUGAUGCACGUGAUCAAAACUUCAAACAUAAUUCACAUGUUAAUAAUAUAUCUAAAAAGCCAUGUAAAUAUAAUGAAUCAGGAAACUUCGUUCAUUGGAGUUCAGCCCUUAAAGUACAUCAGAAAAUUCAUUUUGGAGGAAAACCUCAUGAAUGUAAUGAAUGUGGGAAAGCCUUCAAAGGGAAUACAGACCUUGUUAGACAUCAGAGGUAUAACACUGUUGAGAAGCCCUAUGAGUGUAGUGAAUGUGAGAAAGCUUUCAUUCAGAUCUCUAACCUUAUACAGCAUCAGAGAAUUUAUACUGGAGAGAAACCCUACAAAUGUAGUCAAUGUGGGAAAGCUUUCAUUCAGAGUUCUAACCUGAUUCAACAUUGCAGAAAAUGCCAUGGAGAAAAACCCUAUGAAUGUACUUGUGAAUUUUAAAAUCUCCAUCUUGGUCUAGCACCCAAAAUUGUGCACACCCACACUACAUGGGCAUGUGCUAGUCAAUGACAAAUCAGAAAUAACUAACUGGCCACCUGGGCUGUCCUAAGCCAAGCUUGAGCCAUCAUUGGCACUUGUGAGGCACAGGAAGUGACGGAGAGAGCAGCCUCGGGAAUUCGCUCACUUCCUGUGGACAGGGCAAGACGGCGGUUCAUGUUAGAAGCUUGAACAGGGAGGAGGCCCACAGACAGCUUCCCUUCAGAUCGGUCACAUGAGUCAAGGACUGAUUCCUUCCACCUUGGCCCUUUGGGCCUAAACUCCCUCUGCCUUGGUAAGAGGUUGAGUAACCCCUUUCCCUUUUCUCCUCUCUCCUUCUCUCCCUCACCUUUUCCCUACUCCCAUUGUGAUUAAACCUCCAUAAACUCCAUUCUGACUUGAGUGUUUCAUUUUAGGAAUUUCAUAAGUAAAUUCCUUGGUGGCCAUAGUUCAAUAUUAUAACAAUCUUAAAAGGUGAAAUUUUCACUACAACAUAUUGAAUGUGGGAAAGCCUUCAGUGAAUGCUCAAUUCUUAUUGAACAUCAUAGAAUUCAUACUGGAGAAAAACCCUAUGUAUGCAAUGAAUGUGGGAGAGCCUUUGUCCAGAGCUCAAACCUUAGUCAACAUCAGAGAAUUCAUACUGGAGAAAAACCCUAUGUAUGUAGCCAAUGUGGAAAAGCCUUCAGGCAAAGCACUAAUCUUAUUCAACAUCAGAGAACACAUAAUAAAGAGAAACCCUAUGAAUGUAGUGAAUGUGGG